GAUGAACGCUGGCGGCGUGCCUAAUACAUGCAAGUCGAGCGAACGGACGAGAAGCUUGCUUCUCUGAUGUUAGCGGCUGACGGGUGAGUAACACGUGGAUAACCUACCUAUAAGACUGGGAUAACUUCGGGAAACCGGAGCUAAUACCGGAUAAUAUUUUGAACCGCAUGGUUCAAAAGUGAAAGACGGUCUUGCUGUCACUUAUAGAUGGAUCCGCGCUGCAUUAGCUAGUUGGUAAGGUAACGGCUUACCAAGGCAACGAUGCAUAGCCGACCUGAGAGGGUGAUCGGCCACACUGGAACUGAGACACGGUCCAGACUCCUACGGGAGGCAGCAGUAGGGAAUCUUCCGCAAAGGGCGAAAGCCUGACGGAGCAACGCCGCGUGAGUGAUGAAGGUCUUCGGAUCGUAAAACUCUGUUAUUAGGGAAGAACAUAUGUGUAAGUAACUGUGCACAUCUUGACGGUACCUAAUCAGAAAGCCACGGCUAACUACGUG
rnacentral:rRNA from 1 species